rnacentral:rRNA from 1 species
GAUGAACGCUGGCGGCGUGCUUAACACAUGCAAGUCGAACGAAGCACAUAAGGACGAGUCUUCGGAUGAAGCCGUAUGUGACUGAGUGGCGGACGGGUGAGUAACGCGUGGGUAACCUGCCUCACACAGGGGGAUAACAGUUGGAAACGACCGCUAAUACCGCAUAACCCGCUAGGGGCGCAUGCUCCGGACGGAAAAGAUUAAUCGGUGUGAGAUGGACCCGCGUCUGAUUAGCCAGUUGGCAGGGUAACGGCCUACCAAAGCGACGAUCAGUAGCCGGACUGAGAGGUUGAACGGCCACAUUGGGACUGAGAUACGGCCCAGACUCCUACGGGAGGCAGCAGUCGGGAAUAUUGCGCAAUGGAGGAAACUCUGACGCAGUGACGCCGCGUAUAGGAAGAAGGUUUUCGGAUUGUAAACUAUUGUCGUUAGGGAAGAUAAAAGACUGUACCUAAGGAGGAAGCCCCGGCUAACUAUGUGCCAGCAGCCGCGGUAAUACAUAGGGGGCAAGCGUUAUCCGGAAUUAUUGGGUGUAAAGGGUGCGUAGACGGAAGAACAAGUUGGUUGUGAAAUCCCUCGGCUCAACUGAGGAACUGCAACCAAAACUAUUCUCCUUGAGUGUCGGAGAGGAAAGUGGAAUUCCUAGUGUAGCGGUGAAAUGCGUAGAUAUUAGGAGGAACACCAGUGGCGAAGGCGACUUUCUGGACGAUAACUGACGUUGAGGCACGAAAGUGUGGGGAGCAAACAGGAUUAGAUACCCUGGUAGUCCACACUGUAAACGAUGGAUACUAGGUAUAGGGUGUAUUAAGCACUCUGUGCCGCCGCUAACGCAUUAAGUAUCCCACCUGGGGAGUACGACCGCAAGGUUGAAACUCAAAGGAAUUGACGGGGGCCCGCACAAGCAGUGGAGUAUGUGGUUUAAUUCGAAGCAACGCGAAGAACCUUACCAGGGCUUGACAUAUACCAGAAUAUACUAGAGAUAGUAUAGUCCUUCGGGACUGGUAUACAGGUGGUGCAUGGUUGUCGUCAGCUCGUGUCGUGAGAUGUUGGGUUAAGUCCCGCAACGAGCGCAACCCCUAUCGUUAGUUGCUAGCAGGUAAUGCUGAGAACUCUAGCGAGACUGCCGGUGAUAAAUCGGAGGAAGGUGGGGAUGACGUCAAAUCAUCAUGCCCUUUAUGUCCUGGGCUACACACGUACUACAAUGGCCGUAACAGAGGGAAGCAAUAUAGUGAUAUGGAGCAAAACCCUAAAAGCGGUCUCAGUUCGGAUUGAAGGCUGAAAUUCGCCUUCAUGAAGCUGGAAUUGCUAGUAAUGGCAGGUCAGCAUACUGCCGUGAAUACGUUCCCGGGCCUUGUACACACCGCCCGUCACACCAUGAGAGUUGGAAAUACCCGAAGCCUGUGAGCUAACUGUAAAGAGGCAGCAGUCGAAGGUAGAGCCAAUGAUUGGGGUG